rnacentral:rRNA from 1 species
CCUACGGGAGGCAGCAGUGAGGAAUAUUGGUCAAUGGGCGUAAGCCUGAACCAGCCAAGUCGCGUGAGGGAUGAAGGUUCUAUGGAUCGUAAACCUCUUUUAUGAGGGAAUAAAGUGUGGGACGUGUCCUAUUCUCUAUUUACCUUAUGAAUAAGGUUCGGCUAACUCCGUUCCAUCCGCCGCGGUAAUACGGAGGAUCCGAGCGUUAUCCGGAUUUAUUGGGUUUAAAGGGUGCGUAGGCGGCCUUUUAAGUCAGCGGUGAAAUGCUGUGGCUCAACCAUAGAAUUGCCGUUGAAACUGGGGGGCUUGAGUAUGUUUGAGGCAGGCGGAAUGCGAGGUGUAGCGGUGAAAUGCUUAGAUAUGACGCAGAACACCGAGUGCGAAGGCAGCCUGCCAAGACAUGACUGACGCUGAUGCACGAAAGCGUGGGGAUCAAACAGGAUUAGAUACCCGAGUAGUC